rnacentral:tRNA from 1 species
UAUACCUUAGUAUAAGAUGUACAUUGGGUUUUGGAUCCAAGAGGACUAGUUAAAUUCUAGUAGGCAUAA